rnacentral:misc_RNA from 1 species
AACUUUCAGCAACGGAUCACUGCGCGCACAGACCCAGCAGCAGGUGGACGCCUGCGAGGGCAAGGGCAAUCUGCCGCUCGAUACUGUGAUCAGCGGCUGCACGGCGCUGAUUCAAUCGGGCAACUAUCGCGGGCGAGAUCUUUCUACGGUUUUCGUCACCCGUGCGACCGCCUAUCAGCGCGAAGGCCAGCUUGAACGCGCCAUUCAGGACUACGAUGAGGCGAUCAGGCUCGAUCCGAGCAGCGCCACUGCCUAUUACAAUCGCGGCGUAGCCUAUGGGACUAAAGGGGACUGGGAUCGCGCCAUCGAGGACUACAAUCAGGCACUUAAGCAUAUCAAUAAGCGGAGGCU